CAGAGGGUUUGCCUAGUGCUAUAAGUGACCCCUGAAUGGGAUUUUUAAAGAACAAGAGAAUGGAGUUUACCUGGAAGGUGUUGGGUCUUCACGCACCUCCUUCCUCUACCCAGCAGAAGCACAGCUUGGGUUUCGUCUUCCCAGCCCUCAGGACCUGCACCAGAGUGGCGCCUGGCAGCUGACUCAGGAAAGGGGAGCGUGCCCUGAAAGUGCCGGACACGACACGUCUAGACAACCCAACUAGAAAGAAUCCUGCUGUUUUCUUGGGCCAAGAGCUGAUCAGAAGGGAAGAGGGGCAUGUGCCAGCAUCACGGGUGCCAUGGGCCUCAGGACAGGAUGCCCUGAACAUGCAACAGCACUUAAUGGAAUUUGGACAGAAAACACUUUCUCCACAUAAUAACUGGACUCUAAAAUGUUCGAUGUCUGUGAAUCUCGUUAAGGGAACCUGACCUGCCACAGAUGGUGCCAGAAGAUGCCUGAGAAAGCAGACUUCAGCCAGCUGGCAACGAUGACUCCAUCGCUGGUGGAAGAUAAAACAUUAAUAGCCCUUGGCAUGUACUUGCAGUUCAGUCAUUAAACCUUCUACCAGUGGCGAACUGGGAUGGGAUACUGCUGCAAGGAAAUGGCACAAGCAAGUACAAUAUUUCUGGCAUUUGAGAGGUUCAUGGUAAAUGGUAAUGAUAAGGACUUUGUAAUUGGGUGACUGUCACUAAGGUUCAUCCAUGCAUUCAGGGAAGUCAAUGAGAGGUUGAAGGCAACUACCGUAUUUUCGAACUAUAAG